GAUGAACGCUGGCGGCGUGCUUAACACAUGCAAGUCGAACGGUGAAGCAGAGCUUGCUCUGUGGAUCAGUGGCGAACGGGUGAGUAACACGUGAGCAACCUGCCCCUGACUCUGGGAUAAGCGCUGGAAACGGCGUCUAAUACUGGAUAUGAGCUGCGACCGCAUGGUCAGCAGUUGGAAAGAUUUUUCGGUCUGGGAUGGGCUCACGGCCUAUCAACUUGUUGGUGAGGUAAUGGCUCACCAAGGCGUCGACGGGUAGCCGGCCUGAGAGGGUGACCGGCCACACUGGGACUGAGACACGGCCCAGACUCCUACGGGAGGCAGCAGUGGGGAAUAUUGCACAAUGGGCGAAAGCCUGAUGCAGCAACGCCGCGUGAGGGAUGACGGCCUUCGGGUUGUAAACCUCUUUUAGCAGGGAAGAAGCGAAAGUGACGGUACCUGCAGAAAAAGCGCCGGCUAACUACGUG
rnacentral:rRNA from 1 species